AUAGUACCCUCCCACGGUACUGACCAGGGUUCGAUUCCCUGGAUGCGCAUUAAUUUUUUUUGACCAAUUUUUCCUCCGCUUCUAUACAAACAAAAAGAAUACAAAACCCUCCCUGUGCACACUGAAAUUUCGUUCGUCUUUGCUCUCUGUUCUCAGAUGAGAUGAGACCACUUCCGCCGCUCAGCUCAGCAACAAGUCGAGUUCUCUCUCUCCUCAGCAACUGCUCCUCUGCUACUCACAUCAACCAAAUCCAAACCCAACUCAUCCUCCUAAACCUCCACUCAAACACCACCAUUGCCUCCCACUUCAUCUCUGCCUGUCAAUCUCUUGGCCUCUUGGAUUUAGCCCACCUACACUUCCUAACUCAGCUUCCCAAACCCCAUGUUUUCAUUUGCAAUUCUCUCAUUAGAGCAUUCUCUCACUCCCACACUCCUCAUAAUCAGAUUCAUAAUCAUAUCCCUCUCUCUAUCUACGUCCACAUGCAUAAAAGCUCUAUUCUUCCCAAUAACUUCACCUUCCCUUUCCUUCUAAAGUCCCUAGCUGAUUCCCACGACUUCAAACAAGGGCAAUGCUUGCAUACCCAUGUCUUAAAAUUGGGUCAUCUCUAUGAUAUUUACGUGCAUAACUCGUUAUUGAAUGUCUAUGCAUCGUGUGGCCGUAUGGAGUUUUGUCGACAGGUGUUUGAUGAAAUGCCCCAGAGAGAUGUUGUGUCGUGGACGGUUUUAAUAAUGGGGUACCGGAACUCCGAGAAUUAUGAUGAUGCCUUGAUUUCUUUUGAACAGAUGCAAUAUGCUGGUGUGGUCCCCAAUCAUGUGACAAUGGUGAAUGCUUUAGCUGCUUGUGCAAAUUUUGGGGCCCUUGAGAUGGGUAUUUGGAUACAUGACUUUAUAAGGAGGAGUGGCUGGGAAUUGGAUGUUAUCUUGGGAACUUCUUUGAUUGAUAUGUAUGGAAAAUGUGGUAGGAUUGAAGAAGGUUUGGCUGUCUUCAAUAGCAUGAAAGAGAAAAACACUUUUACUUGGAAUGCACUAUUAAAGGGCUAGCUCUGCUAAAAAUGGCAAGGAGACAUUGGGUGGUUUAAGAGGAUGGAACAAGAAGGGAUCAGAGUAGAUGAAGUGACUUUGGUUUCGGUUUUAAAUGCUGUAGUCAUUCGGGGUUGGUAGAUAUCGGCAGGCAGAUUUUUCGUUCCUUGAGCGAUGGGAAGUAUGGAUUUUUGCCUGGGGUGAAACAUUAUGCUUGUAUGAUUGACCUGUUAGCACGUUCUGGGUAUCUUGAAGAUGCUUUGAAUUGCUUAAGAGAAAUGCCUUAUGAGCCUACUAAAGCUAUUUGGGGUUCAUUGCUGGCUGGUGGUAAAACUCAUGGGAACUUGGAAUUGAGCGAGUUUGCAGCUCGGAAGCUUGUUGAACUAGAGCCAGGGAGUAGUGCUUACUAUGUUCUGCUGUCUAAUAUUUAUGCAGAGAUGGGAAGAUGGAAUGAUGUUGAGAAAGUCAGGGGGAUGAUGAAACAGAGAGACCUUAAGAAAGACUCGGGCUGUAGUUCUGUGGAAUUUGAACCCUCUGACCAAGUUACUCAACUGUUAGCACAAUAAGUCGCAUUGUAUUUGCAAGGGAUUGGUUCUGUUCUAUUAUUGAAUUGGGUUGGGUUGUUUCCAUUUCACCGACUACAUCAAGUUUAGUGGAUGGCGAAUGCUCUGCUUGCAGCAUGGUUAUCUCUUGAAUUUUAGAUGAUGACAGUUGAGAUCAACUACUGGAUGGGCAAACACAAACUUCGGACACCAAAAACAGAUUGUAAAGGCAUAUCAAUCUUCAUACUGAGGAUGGAAGACAAGAACUCAAAGGCAUGCCACCACAACACCAGCAGCAGCAGAAGAGUCUUGUCCAACUAUUUAUUGAAAAGGAAAAUCAAGGGCAUAAAUGAAGCCAAAAUACAUGGAAUUAUUGAAGAUACAUGACUGUUGAUUAGCCAGCAACAGCAGUCUUUUACUACUAGCUUCGCAUGGCAAUGACCUUAUUCCAAGCUGGCCUUGCAGUGAUAUCAGCUACCCAUGCGCUAACAUGGGGCCGGGAUUCGAACAGCUUCUUCGAUUGUGUUCCCAUCAAGUAAUUUAUGGUUGGAAGGUGGUGAAGAUCUGCCAAGGUGAAGCUGUCACCUCCCAAGUAUUUCGACUGAGCCAGACGAGCCUCAUAAACAUCAAGAACCGCAGCCAACUUGGCUUCAUAUUCCUCCACAACUGCCGAGUCUGUGGGCAUGCCAAGCAGCGGCUUUAUGCCUAGCUCCCAGGUCAGUUUUGAGGCUGCCGGGUCGAACUUUUGACCCUCCACCUCCGUCCACACUGAUAGAAUUGCCAUCUUCUUUGAGUCUCGGAUCACUAGCUGGGUUCCCUUGUCGAAAUACUCAUGGGCAAUGUAUUGUGUAAUUGCCCUUGAUUCUGCAUAUCAGAAGGUGCACACUUUAAUACAAGUUACACAAAUUCAUAUUUCAUGUAUGCUGUGUAUGAAUUUGAUGUGAGUGAGCUAAACACAAAAACUUACCAAA